rnacentral:rRNA from 1 species
GGGGGAUAACGCGUGAGAAUCUGGCUAGGUCGGGGACAACAGUUGGAAACGACUGCUAAUACCGGAUGUGCCGAGAGGUGAAAGAUUAAUUGCCUAGAUGAGCUCGCGUCUGAUUAGCUAGUUGGUGUGGUAAGAGCGCACCAAGGCGACGAUCAGUAGCUGGUCUGAGAGGAUGAUCAGCCACACUGGGACUGAGACACGGCCCAGACUCCUACGGGAGGCAGCAGUGGGGAAUUUUCCGCAAUGGGCGAAAGCCUGACGGAGCAAUACCGCGUGAGGGAGGAAGGCUCUUGGGUUGUAAACCUCUUUUCUCAAGGAAUAAGUUCUGAAGGUACUUGAGGAAUAAGCAUCGGCUAACUCCGUGCCAGCAGCCGCGGUAAUACGGAGGAUGCAAGCGUUAUCCGGAAUGAUUGGGCGUAAAGGGUCCGCAGGUGGCAGUUAAGUCUGCUGUCAAAGAAUGAGGCUCAACCUCAUCAAGGCAGUGGAAACUACACAGCUAGAGUACGGUCGGGGUAGAAGGAAUUCCUGGUGUAGCGGUGAAAUGCGUAGAGAUCAGGAAGAACACCGGGGCGAAA